GCCUAGGUGGCGGAACUGGCAGACGCGCACGACUCAAAAUCGUGUGAGAGCAAUCUCAUGUGGGUUCGAUUCCCACCCUGGGCA
rnacentral:tRNA from 1 species